CGUUGGUGUAUCAAAGAGAGCGACUAUCCUGUGGAGUGCGGGUGAAGUCACCGUCUGUGGACACCAGGGUUCCAUACUGAGCUGCCUGGCCCUGGCUUUCUCCUUAAUGGAUCAUGAUGGAACAAAGCAACUGAGAUUAGGAAAGGCUCUUCAUCUCAAUGAAACUAACAAACAUCUGAGCUGAGGAACUGGAAACAACUCGGAAGGAACAGCAAGAGUGGAUGACUUGGAGACCGGACAAAAAAUCUAGUUCCCAACGCAGCUACAUGCUAUGUGUGAAACACAGAAUGGAAUCGUCCCACUUUCAAUCUCUGGAAAAGAUGGCAGACAAACAAAGACCAAUAUAGGUCAAUCAGCAGCAGAAACCAUUCAUCAGGGUGACGUUGAGGAAGGUGAUUCCUCUUACUUCAUUCCCUGGAGGAAGCACCUCCUGGAAACUGAAGAACCUGAGAAUUUAAUGCAGGAACCGUCAUCUCCAGAGGAGAAAUUGUCCCUAAAUCAAGCUACUCCAUCUGAAAACCAGGGAGGCCAGCCUGUAAAUGAAAAUAUGCCAGUAACCGAGGGAAAUUUACCAACAUGUUUUGCUAACGUAGGACCGGCUGCAGAAGAUACUAGUACCCCAGUGUGUGAAGUCCACCAUAGAGUGGAAGACGUAGAUCCCAAUGUGCAGGUGUUCAGGGAAAGCUUUGGCAUUUUAAAAGAAUGUUGUGACAACAUGUGUAUGAGUAUGUUGAACUUGCAAGUUGUCUUGGAAGCUCUUAUUACUAUUUUAAGAGAGUAGGGGAAACAGUGUAUCUGGCCUGAUCUGUAGGAAUGGUAGCAACAGUAGGGAAUAUAUUAAACAUUUAUUUGUUUUACUUCAGUUAUAUGGUACUUUUCUCCCAAAUGGGAACCCA